GAUAAACGCUAGCGGCAGGCUUAACACAUGCAAGUCGAGGGGCAGCAUAGAUUGUAGCAAUACAAUUGGUGGCGACCGGCGCACGGGUGCGUAACGCGUAUGCAACCUACCCGUCACAGGGGGAUAAUCCGGAGAAAUCUGGUCUAAUACCCCAUAACAUAUGGAUCGGCAUCGGUUCAUGUUGAAAUUUUCGGAGGUGACGGAUGGGCAUGCGUAGCAUUAGCUUGUUGGUGAGGUAACGGCUCACCAAGGCGACGAUGCUUAGGGGGACUGAGAGGUUUUCCCCCCACACUGGGACUGAGACACGGACCAGACUCCUACGGGAGGCAGCAGUGAGGAAUAUUGGUCAAUGGGCGCAAGCCUGAACCAGCCAUGCCGCGUGCAGGAUGACGGCUCUAUGAGUUGUAAACUGCUUUUGUACGAGGGUAAAGUGGGUUACGUGUAACCUUUUGGAAGUAUCGUACGAAUAAGGAUCGGCUAACUCCGUGCCAGCAGGCCGCCGUAA
rnacentral:rRNA from 1 species